rnacentral:rRNA from 1 species
UACGAAGGGGGCUAGCGUUGCUCGGAAUUACUGGGCGUAAAGCGCACGUAGGCGGCUUUCUAAGUCGGGGGUGAAAUCCUGGAGCUCAACUCCAGAACUGCCUUCGAUACUGGAAAGCUCGAGUCCGGGAGAGGUGAGUGGAACUGCGAGUGUAGAGGUGAAAUUCGUAGAUAUUCGCAAGAACACCGGUGGCGAAGGCGGUCUCUGGGC